rnacentral:lncRNA from 1 species
GCAAGAAGCGGGACGCAGGGUGGACCCACGUUUCAGGACUGCAGCGGAGCGGGGAGCAGACCAGGGCAGCAGUGUGGGCACUGGGGAGCAUGGAGGAGAGGGGGCAGGGUGGGGGUGCUGCCCGCACCCCACCACAGGGUCCCCCACCCAUGGACACCAUCAUUCCCGUUAUUUUUUCCAGUUCUAGAACAUAUGGCCUCCAGAAUGCUAGGCCGGCGCUCACCACACAGCCACCGAGCCUCAACCCUAGACAUGGAACCCCCAGGCCCCGUUUCCCUGCAGGGUGCUCCAGAGGUUAGGAAAGUCCUACAGAGCAUGCCGAAACCAGGCGUGGCGGCACACACCUGUGAUCCCAGCACUCUGGAGGCUGAGGCAGGAAGACUGCCAAGAGUUCAAGGCCAGCCUGGGCUACAUAGCCCCGAACACCCAGCUCCCCACAGCAGCAGGAGGAGCUCACGUCUCACUGAGGAGCAGCCGCCAGCCGGAGUGCACGUGGAAAAGAGGAGACAGCAGGAUAACCGUCAGUGCCCGGCCCAGAGCUGUGGAUGCCCUAACUCCACGGUGCCCUGCGGGGUGAGACAGGGUUUGGGACAGUGCAGCGAACAGAGCCCGAGGCGUCUCCGGCCUCCCGGCCCAGGUCCACCCACCCUGGGCCCAGGCAUCGUGGGACACUCAGCUGGGAUCCGGAAGCUCAGAUUUCGGGGUUCUGGGGUUGGG